GACGAACGCUGGCGGCGUGCUUAACACAUGCAAGUCGAACGGAAAGGCCCUGCUUUUGUGGGGUGCUCGAGUGGCGAACGGGUGAGUAACACGUGAGUAACCUGCCCUUGACUUUGGGAUAACUUCAGGAAACUGGGGCUAAUAUCGGAUAGGAGCUCCUGCUGCAUGGUGGGGGUUGGAAAGUUUCGGCGGUUGGGGAUGGACUCGCGGCUUAUCAGCUUGUUGGUGGGGUAGUGGCUUACCAAGGCUUUGACGGGUAGCCGGCCUGAGAGGGCGACCGGCCACAUUGGGACUGAGAUACGGCCCAGACUCCUACGGGAGGCAGCAGUGGCGAAUAUUGCACAAUGGGCGGAAGCCUGAGGCAGCAACGCCGCGUGCGGGAUGACGGCCUUCGGGUUGUAAACCGCUUUCGCCUGUGACGAAGCGUGAGUGACGGUAAUGGGUAAAGAAGCACCGGCUAACUACGUG
rnacentral:rRNA from 1 species